AACUGGAGAGUUUGAUCCUGGCUCAGAAUGAACGCUGGCGGCGUGCUUAACACAUGCAAGUCGAGCGAGAAAGUCUCCUUCGGGAGGCGAGUAAAGCGGCGAACGGGUGAGUAACACGUGGGCAACCUGCCCAGAAGCGGGGGAUAACUUGGGGAAACUCGAGCUAAUACCGCAUACGUCUUCGAGGCUCUGGUCUCGAAGGGAAAGCUGGCCAAUACAUGUAAGCUGGCACUUCUGGAGGGGCCCGCGUUCGAUUAGCUAGAUGGUGGGGUAACGGCCUACCAUGGCGACGAUCGAUAGCCGGCCUGAGAGGGCGAUCGGCCACACUGGGACUGAGACACGGCCCAGACUCCUACGGGAGGCAGCAGUGGGGAAUAUUGGACAAUGGGGGAAACCCUGAUC
rnacentral:rRNA from 1 species